UGGUAAUUUCUGACAAGACCCGACUGGCAACACUGCAAAUAAUCACUAGUGGUCAUACGCCAACGUCACUCGCCCGAAGCCAUAAAAAAGAAAACAAAAACUUCCGGUUCCGGAAGAAAAAACAGCCAAGUGUUUUGCACUUUUGCAGCAUACUCUCUUCUAAUCUGUGUUUUGCAGUGCACAAAAUCAGUGGUAGAACGUAGAACCUACAAGUUUUUUUGUUUUGCACGGUGUUUUAUUUAAUAAACGCUUCUGUUGUGCGAAUUGGACGCUUGACGUGCUGAAGAUUAAAGACUUUGCAUAAUGGAAUCAAAAAAAUUUUUUUUGGUUACAUUUUUAGAUGAAGAUGAUGCUCCUGGCAUAGUUUCAUCAAAGUGGUUAAGAUACCAACACUUGUUAUUACCCUAAUGUAUGCACUGAAGAAAUCAAAAACAAACUUGAAGAAGAUGCCUGCACCUGAAGCAACAUGGUCACAAUAUCAAAUAAAAAUACUUAAAAGUUAUGAAACUUAUGGCGAAGCACGAUUACAUUUAAAAAAAGCGGAAGAAACCUGAAAUUUGGACUCAGACGAAGCAGAAAAUGAUGUUACAAAUGAAGUGACAGUGGACAUAAUGUCUGCUGUAAAUUACCCAGUCACCUCCGGUUCUAAAGAGGCCAAGCAAACACAACUCAAAGCUGUUAACUGCCAAUCAGAGUGCAUUACAAACAAGCAAUAUGCUAUACAGCAGAGUCAUAUGAUUCAGAUUGUGUCAGACCUAGCUAACCAAAUGGCUGAAAUCAAUAGAAAAUUGGAUUUACCGUUAGCUAGGUCCGAAGAAACAUUUUCACCAACAGAUGACAAUGCAGGUCUUUCAGAACUUUUGGCAAGUCUACCAGUAAAGAUAUUGCAAGUUUUAAUAAUUUCGAUGACCAUUUAAAAAUAAACAAGAAUACAGGCAAUAAUGUCAUUUUUGUCUGGUAUUGGCGGCAGAAAUGUAAGAAGCCUUACGACUAAUAUGUUGAGACGAAUAAUUCUAGAUGAUGUAGCCGAGUUGUAUUCGUUAACUGGGAAACAGAUGAAAAAUUCGAAUAAAAAGUCAUUUAUGAGUACAGAAACCUAUAAAUUAAUCUUUCAAAUAUGUAGAAAAAUCAACGAAGAUGUAACUGAAGACAGUCUAAAAGAAAUUAUAAGUGAUUGGCUAAAUCAAGCUAAAGUUAGACUUUCAAGAAGAGCAGAAACACAAAAUAAAGGAAAAAAACCAAUAGCGGCGACCAUGAAACCGAUUUUUUCUCAUUUAAAGUAAGAUAAGAUAAAAGUAUAAAUAAUAAAAAAAUAUAUGUUA